GAUGAACGCUGGCGGCGUGCCUAAUACAUGCAAGUCGAGCGAACAGAGAAGGAGCUUGCUCCUUCGACGUUAGCGGCGGACGGGUGAGUAACACGUGGGCAACCUACCUUAUAGUUUGGGAUAACUCCGGGAAACCGGGGCUAAUACCGAAUAAUCUGUUUCACCUCAUGGUGAAACACCGAAAGACGGUUUCGGCUGUCGCUAUAGGAUGGGCCCGCGGCGCAUUAGCUAGUUGGUGAGGUAACGGCUCACCAAGGCGACGAUGCGUAGCCGACCUGAGAGGGUGAUCGGCCACACUGGGACUGAGACACGGCCCAGACUCCUACGGGAGGCAGCAGUAGGGAAUCUUCCACAAUGGGCGAAAGCCUGAUGGAGCAACGCCGCGUGAGUGAAGAAGGAUUUCGGUUCGUAAAACUCUGUUGUAAGGGAAGAACAAGUACAGUAGUAACUGGCUGUACCUUGACGGUACCUUAUUAGAAAGCCACGGCUAACUACGUGCCAGCAGCCGCUGUAA
rnacentral:rRNA from 1 species